GACGAACGCGGCGGCGUGCCUACCCCAUGCAAGUAGAACGCUGAAGGAGGAGCUUGCUUCUCCGGAUGAGUUGCGAACGGGUGAGUAACGCGUAGGUAACCUGCCUGGUAGCGGGGGAUAACUAUUGGAAACGAUAGCUAAUACCGCAUAAGAGUAGAUGUCGCAUGACAUUUGCUUAAAAGGUGCAAUUGCAUCACUACCAGAUGGACCUGCGUUGUAUUAGCUAGUUGGUGGGGUAACGGCUCACCAAGGCGACGAUACAUAGCCGACCUGAGAGGGUGAUCGGCCACACUGGGACUGAGACACGGCCCAGACUCCUACGGGAGGCAGCAGUAGGGAAUCUUCGGCAAUGGACGGAAGUCUGACCGAGCAACGCCGCGUGAGUGAAGAAGGUUUUCGGAUCGUAAAGCUCUGUUGUAAGAGAAGAAUGAGUGUGAGAGUGGGAAGUUUCACACUGUGACGGU
rnacentral:rRNA from 1 species